rnacentral:misc_RNA from 1 species
UCAAACUUGGUCAUUUAGAGGAAGUAAAAGUCGUAACAAGGUCUCCGUAGGUGAACCUGCGGAGGGAUCAUUAAAAAAAGAGUUGCAAGACUCGAAAACCAUCGCGAACAUACCUCUCGUCGUUGCUUCGGCGGGCCGCUCGCCAGGGCGCCCGCCGGAGGACCACCAAACUCUGUUUUCUUAGCGUAUCUCUGAGUGGACCACAAGAAUGAAUCAAAACUUUCAACAACGGAUCUCUUGGUUCUGGCAUCGAUGAAGAACGCAGC